GGCGGUAACCCUUCUGAGCUGAGAAAGUAGGCAAGGGCCCCCUCGGGGACGAAAAUAGGUGCGCAGACGUCUUGUUAGCGGGGUGUUAAGCACUUGAGUGCAACACUCCGGCCUAAGACGUCAGCUAUGGCUUCGUAGGGUGUGGUGAGUGCUUUACCCAGCACUCAUCGACCGCCCUGCCUACCUACCCUUGUGAUACGAGCCUCGCAGAUUCCUGCGUGGCCCGUGUCGGUUGUAUAUCACUCCUGAGCUA
rnacentral:siRNA from 1 species